rnacentral:rRNA from 1 species
AACGAACGCUGGCGGCGGGCCUAACACAUGCAAGUCGAACGAACCCUUCGGGGUUAGUGGCGGACGGGUGAGUAACACGUGGGAACGUGCCUUUAGGUUCGGAAUAACUCAGGGAAACUUGUGCUAAUACCGAAUGUGCCCUUCGGGGGAAAGAUUUAUCGCCUUUAGAGCGGCCCGCGUCUGAUUAGCUAGUUGGUGAGUUAAUGGCUCACCAAGGCUACGAUCAGUAGCCGGUCUGAGAGGAUGACCAGCCACAUUGGGACUGAGACACGGCCCAAACUCCUACGGGAGGCAGCAGUGGGGAAUCUUGCGCAAUGGGUGAAAGCCUGACGCAGCCAUGCCGCGUGGAUGAUGAAGGUCUUAGGAUUGUAAAAUCCUUUCACCGGUGAAGAUAAUGACUGUAGCCGGAGAAGAAGCCCCGGCUAACUUCGUGCCAGCCGCCGCAGUAAUAC